rnacentral:rRNA from 1 species
UACGGAGGGUGCGAGCGUUGUCCGGAAUCACUGGGCGUAAAGGGCGCGUAGGCGGCAUGCCAAGCGUGUGGUGAAAGCCCGGGGCUCAACCCCGGGUCGGCCGUGCGGACUGGCAUGCUCGAGCACUGUAGGGGCGGGUGGAAUUCCGGGUGUAGCGGUGGAAUGCGUAGAGAUGGGGGGAGAACACUCGUGGCGAAGGCGGCCAGCUAGACCAGUUCUGACACUGAGGCGCGACAGCGUGGGGGAGCAAACAGG